GUUCUGAAGUGCAUAUCAAAAGCGACCUUUUUUCACUGCCCAGGGACGAGCAUGUGAAGAAUCAGUAGCUAGAGUUUAUAUUUACAAAUAUACCACACAAGUAUAGCCCGAACCUUGUGCUGUGUUCGCGUCAUUUAAUGACGAUUGCUUUACGAACAUGAAUGCUUUCAAGGGUGGAUUCGCGAGCCGGUUGAUACUGAAGGAAGGUUCAGUACCAAGUUUAUUUGGAUCAGCUUCCUCUUCCAAAUCACAACCUCGGUGAUGGGCGUUCCAUUUCUGACAAUCUCUGCACAGAGUACACCAAUCACAACUGACUGGGUCAUCUGACCAAUCACCGCAGAUUAGCGUCACGCAAAGGAGGGGUUUGGAAAAAUUAGUCGUUGAACGAAUCAUUUGGGAGUCGGUGAGCAAAUCAGAUUACUGCAUCAAUCUCAAAACACCGCUUAUCAAGAACAACCAACAACAACAAACAACUGCGGUUAUUGUUAUAAACAUGAGCCUCGACUGAAGGGUCAAGAGGAGGUUUUUCUACAAUUUACAGUGAAGUUUUUGGUGUUACUCAGAGGACAGGAUAUAAAUGUUACCAGAACAUCUGGAUACAGCUCCCUUCCUGCUUCGUGUUGGAGUCCACUGCUACGUGUUGCUGUGUGAUAAUGACUAAUAGCACGGUGCCAGCCAAACAUCACCUCAGUCUAUUACAAUGGACUUCAGAUGAUGAACUGAUGCCAACCCCAACCAUAAGACAUGUGAUACUUCAUAUGCCAUUGCCUGAACCUUGGAUUUUGGAUAAACCUGACCAAAUUACCGGCCAGGUUGAACUGCGAUGCACUUCAUUGAUCUCUGCCUGCAUCACCUCUGUCUAAUGAUGGACUACACUCUUGAAAUGGAGUACAUAGACUAUCAAUUAAUUGCCAACAAAAGCCUUCAUCAGCCAACUAACAAAGGACAAUUGCAUCUGUGUGAACUUCUGCAGUUAAUCCAGGAUGGACUUCAAAGACAUUAGUCAUUAAUCUUAAAGUUCAUACAAAAUAAUUGUUUAAACACUGACCCUUAACACUUAUUUAGUUUAAUCAUUUUAAACCAUGACUUGCACUAUACAUAAGUGAUAUUGGCAUUAUAUUCAUGAUAUUAGCCAAAGGGUAACUGGCCCCCACAGUGAGUCUGGUUUCUCCCAAGGUUAUUUUUAUCCAUUAACCAACAUCUUCUGGAGUUUUGUGUUCCUUGCCACAGACGCCUUCGGCUUGCUCACUGGGAUUAUAAAUUAUUAUUUAAUUACUUAUUUUUAAACAUAAUACAAAAUCAUAUUUUAUCAAACUACACAAUGAUGACUCUAAGACAUUAUAGACAUUACAGUUUUAUCUUCUGUUAAUGCCUGAUCUUCUGUAAAGCUGCUUUGAAACGAUGUGUGUUGUGAAAGGUGCUAUACAAAUAAAAAUAACUUGACCUGACUUAAGGAGAUGUUAGGCAGAAUAACAGCCUCAGUUGCUAUCCCCUUGCAUUUUAUGAAAAAAUGCUAUUAAAGUGACUGGUGACUUAAGACAUACUGCCUAACAUCUCCUUCUGUGUUUCACUAAAUAAAGAAAG